UAAAAUAAAGAACAUUUACAGAAAACAUCUUUCUUUCUCAUCCCGUUUUCCAGGAGAAUCAGCGGUUGGAGGAGGUUCUACAGAGGUGAAAACAGAUCCUCCACCAGGUGCAGACGCUUCAGCAGCUCAGGAUGCUAAAAGUGUAAGAUACAUUCAAAGUGGAAGACAAGUUCAGGUAGUUACUGUGACAUGAUGACGAUAAUAAAUCCAAUGCUAUUCUCUUUCAGACUGCUGCCGUGGGAAAAGCGAACACAAGGCCAAAUGAGAGUAAAAACAGGAGAAAUAAAGGUGCUGGAUGUGUUACAAAUGCUCACACAAAUCUUCAGAACAAUACUCAAGAAGUCACUCCAGUCAUUCCAUCAACAUCAGAAAGAAAGAAGGCUGAGAACCAGCAUAAGACCGACACUGCAAAGACCUCAGAAAGAUCAGGACCAUCUUCAAAGAGCGGUCAGAGAAACACAGCAGAGCUUCAUUAUAAUGCUGCAACUGCAAGAAAUCCACAGCAAGAGCAACAGGACUCUAACAAUUCUGAAGAAGAAUUUGUGGACGUUUCUGAAGAUUUUAUCCCUGAAACGGCAACUGUGAUAAAAGGUACACCUUCCACUGAUUUCUCUUACCCCUGUGGACCUGGAGAACAGCAGGGUGUACACCCAUCAGGCAAGGAACUCAUCACAAUUACAUAUAUACACUUUAAUGGUUUUAAACAAUUACAUAAUUAUACCUUAAUACCAAUCACAACAUUUAUUCAUAUAUAAAGUAUCUCACAAAAGUGAGUACACCCCUCAUAUUUUUGUAAAUAUAUAAAAUUUCAUGGGACAGCACUGAAGAUAUGACACAUUGAGACAGUGUAAUAUAGUC
rnacentral:lncRNA from 1 species